rnacentral:rRNA from 1 species
ACCUGGACUGCAUGUUCUUGCGACUAAGUUGUAAGGUACGAUUCUGUUAGCAGUGAAUGGUAGGAUCAGAGGACAUCAUGCGAAGGCAGCUACCUGGACCAUACUGACAUGAGGCAGGAAAGCGUGGAGCAAACAGGAUUAGAUACCCUGGUAGUCCACGCCCUAAACGAUGCGAACUGGAUGUUGGGUGCACUUUGGCACGCAGUAUCGAAGCUAACGCGUUAAGUUCGCCGCCUGGGGAGUACGGUCGCAAGACUGAAACUCAAAGGAAUUGACGGGGCCCGCACAAGCGUGGAGUAGUGGUUAAUUCGAUGCAACGCGAGGACCUUACCUGGCUUGACAUGUCGAGAACUUCCCAGAGAGGGAUUGGUGCCUCCGGGACUCCAACACAGGUGGCGCAUGGCUGUUGUCAGCUCGUGUCGUGAGAUGUUGGGUUAAGUUCCGCAACGAGCGCCACCCUUGUCCUUAGUUGCCCGCCCGUAAUGGUGGGAACUUUAAGGAGGCCGCCGGUGGCAAACCGGAGGAAGGUGGGGAAGACGUCAAGUCAUCCUGGCCCUUACGGCCAGGGCUACCCACGUACUUCAAUGGUAGGGACAGAGGGGUGCAAGCCGGGGGCGGUAAACCAAUUCCAGAAACCCUAUUUCAGUUCGGAAUGGAGUUUGCAACUUGGCUCCCAGAAGUUGGAAUUGGUUGUAAUUGCAGAUUAGCAAUGUCGCGGUGAAUACGUUCCCGGGCCUUGUACACUCCGCC